UUCAAACCACAUAACCUCACUAAAUUAAUAUUAUAACAAAGAAAAUAUCAUCGAUAGAAUUAAAUAAUACAUAUAGUAUCGAUCCAUUCAAUCGAUUACUCGCAAAUGAAGCAAAAGUAUUAAUUUGUUCUCGAUUGAUCUCAAAAAAAAAAAUAAGUGACAAAACGAUUUUUAAUGAACUUCAUUGAAUUAAUAUUAUAACAGAAAAUAUCAUCGAUACAACUAAAUAGUGCAUAUAGUAUCGAUCUAUUCAAUCGAUUACUCGGAACUAAAAUAAGUACAAGUAUUACUCGUUCUCGAUUGAUCUCGAGAAAAAUAAGUAGCGAAACGGUUUUUAGUGAAUUUUUCGCGAGAAUGCUGUUGGUGUUAUUUGUCAAGCGUGACCGAAGGAAAGAGCAGCGGUUUCGAAUGAGAAAAUUUAUGGGUCGCAAUGUGUCGACGGAAACCUUAAAUUUUAACGUCCCUGUCGCGUACUCGGUUGCGUCCUGCCUUGCCUGUUAAGAACCUUGCGAAGGGGGAUUACGAGUUGACUGCCACGAAGCGAACAUGGAACAUCAAGGGGUGGUUCCACUCUCUCCACGGUGGGGGAGAAUCAGAAGUAUGGUGGUGGUUCUAUGGUAGGGAGAUGUGUAGACGGUGCCACAGGAAAAGGUGUAGGGAAGAGGCGCACGUUGCUCCUUCUUCCUUCCUGAUGCUUUGCUUGUGUCUCUUCCUACGCUGAAUAUUUUUCUUUUUGUGUUGCUCGAAAUAAAUAAAUCGGGUUUAACCGUUUGAGUCAAAUGAGCAUAAUAAAUAAAGAGACAAAUCAAUGGGGCUGUCGAGUCGGCGGUCGCUGUUUGAUGUCAAGAAAGAGCUCGACCUGCUCAGAUUCAGCUAUCUCGAUGUCGUCGCCGACAACGGCAUCCUACUGCGAUAACGCCAUUAUGCGAAUUCGAGAUUUGCAUAUUUCAGAAAGUGCUGCACAGGAAAGCAUAAACAACUCUGGUCGCUCUGCGCAACGAGAGCGUUGUGGCUUCCUCGUCAGAAGAGUUACACGCAUGGAAGAUUUACGGAGAAUCCAACGGUUUUCCUUUUCCCUUCCUCCACCUUUUUUCCACUUUUUUCUCCCGUCGUUUUUUUGCUAUCUUUGUUAUUCUUUUUUUUUCUCUUUGUUUUUAUUUUUUUUAUUUUUUUUUGUAGGAAAUCUCUUCUUACACUUUGUAUUCAGACAUAAAUGCAUGAUGACGCGAAAUGGAAAUUGGUUGAAUACCUUCAGAUGAUCAUUUCGGAAUGGAGGACGAAAGAACCGGUUCAACAAUUUUGAACUAAACUGAAACUUGCGGUUUUCGGAUUGAAUUUUAACUAAUAUUUGGACAACGAUUUUUCGGCAUGUUAAUUGCCAAUGCAUCUUAAAAUAGUUGUUAAUUAAUUCAAAGAAAUCGUGAACAAAUUUAUUUAUAAAGUCAUCGAACGAGAUAAAGUCAUUUGAAAAACAAAUUGAUCUUGGGCCAAAUGACAAAACUCCUCAACAUUAAUAUCUAAACGAGCAACCAUUUUAAUAAACUCGUCACAAUGGUGGCAAGAGUCAAGACGGAGGACCUUUCCGACUUGAAUUUCAAUUUUCACGCGAUAGUCCAUAAAGCAUCCGAAAAAGAAGGAACGCCGAGAUCGGGUAAGGAAUCGCUGGGAAAGAUCUUAUGGAACGAAAAACGCGUUUGCCGUCGAAUUCCAGCGAUCAAGCGAAAAGAAAGGAAGCUGGAUGAUAUACCGGUGGAUCCACGUUCCACGCCGGAUAUUUACGUGUAGCCCGAUGGCCGAACUGCUGUCGAACAUCGGGUUUUACAGCGUCGAGCAACGGCGUAUCGUGGACAUCAUCGAGAGCCAAGGAUCCGGCGACUGGUUACACGCAAGUAGAUGGAUGAAGGUGGCUGGAACAAGGUGGCGGCUGAUGGGUGUAAAUUCGAGAUACGAUCUUCUCUCUUCUGUGUCCCUUUCCAAACGGAUUUACCGACUACUGCGCAUUCUGCCUGCUUGGUUUUACUUGGUUUUUAAUUAUCCCCAGGGUUUCCGAGACAAAGGCGUCGCCGCCGUUGUUACCCAGAUAUGAUGCAUCGGCAUUGGAGAAGUUGAAGAAUUUCAGGAAUGAAUCGAUUCAAUAUGUAAAUGUGUUUCUGAAUUAUUUGAAAGAAAUUUGAAAAACGAAGAUAACUGUUAAGGAGAUGAGAAUCAACGGUUGUGCUUUAAUUUAUAAAUUGAUACGAGUAUCGAAUGUUUAGAAGAGAUGAGGAAUUUCGGGAGAGAUAACGUGAUUAUGAAAUAUUAAUAUUGUUCAUCGAUUCGUCGGCGGCAACGAUCCUUAUCUCCGCGUCGGGACAAAUUAGCACCCCGACUGUGUGUUCGGUUGAAACCUGUUCGCUGGAAUCUGCAAAUUACCUUUUCUGCCGCCUCGAUAUAAAGGACGCCGGACAUUCGGAAUGGUGCGAGCCAGCCUUUUACGCCAGCGAUCUUGCACGAGUGUUGCAAGUACAAAUGAGCGAAUUUACGUUUCGACUCUUGCUGUCGAUGCAUGUUAAGGAAGUAGCAAUAGAUUUUCCAAUUGAUAAUCUUCAACGAGUCGAAAACACGACGAAAGUGACGAGUGGUGAAAGAUGUAAAACACUGUUAUUCGUGCGAUAUUGGAAUCAGUUGACUUCCCAAAAGGAAAUGGAAACACGAGAAGAAAGUAUUGAGCAAGAUUGAUUAGAGAUAUUGUUGAAGUAUCCAUUUCAAGACAGACUCUUAAGUGCAUGUUGGAACAACAGCUUUAUUGUUGUAUUAAACACUUGAAAAGAUUUAGGAUUUUUCUUUUUAUUUUGUUCACCGUGAAUCUAGUUUACCAAGAUUAUACCGAAGAUUAUGGUUCUAUGCAAUAUGCAAAAGGAUUCCAUUCACCGAUAGCUAGGAAAAUCCUAGAGGUGCUGAAGAUUACGAUUUAUACGAGAGUGAGAUAUAUUAUUUAUCGAAUAAUCAUGUUUCCUAUUCUUGUAAUUCUUACAAUUUCGAAAUAGAAGAUUUCUAUAUAUUUGUACUCCGAUCAUGAAAAUUUCAUUUUAAUUCUCAUGCCACCAAGAAAAAAUUACUAUCUGCUUUUGUAUGAAAAGCAUGGUUUCUGAAUGGCCAUUUGACUGUUUCACAGCAGAAAGACAAUAAUUACAAUCGUCUAAAUGAAUUAACAUCAGGAUACGAUUCGAGUACUAUACAACUCGCGUGCCCAUGAUAACGAAGGCGAGGAAUCGGGAAAAGGAAAACCGGCCGUUCCUCAUCGUUCUUUCGUACGGUGUUGUUGUCAAUCGUCGAAACGAAUUUUCGACAGAGGACGCAAAGAGGACCGAUGUCGGGCCCCCUGCUGGGGUAUCGGUUACGCUUAAACCGCGUUUAGGGCUCUCGAAUGCCGGCUUUUUGAGACCGUGACAGCAACCCGAUUGUUGUAGUGAUGGAUUGAAGAAACAACGAAUCAUCAUUGAGUUCUUUUUGUUUUUAACCGUUGGUGGAAUGUGGGAAAUGUUUUAAAUGUUUAUGAAUACAAGAUGCUGAAGAAAGGAGAAGAUAUAGAAUGUGUAUCUAUACAGAUUAUUAUAGAAGGGAGAAUUGCAUGAAUAAUUAUAUGUAUGCACUACUUGCAAAACUUUAUUUUAUUAGAUUACUUAAUGAUAAUAACGUAAUCAAUUAUAUUCUAAUAUUUCCUUUUUUACAGGAAGAAAUUUUAAUACCAUCAUGUGCUUUGGAUCAUUUUUACUCUUAAUUUUCUAUUCUUAAAAGAAUUCUAUAGUUUGGGAUUAAAGAAAUUAUCACAGAAGAUGAAUAUGAUAAAAAUUUGAUUUCAAGUUUUCUAUUUUUAGUCCUAAAUAUUUGAAUCUAAAGGAUGUUAUAAAGAUUAAAAAAGAAAGGAGAAAAUACAUCUUAAGAAUUAUUUUAUCGCUAAUAAUAAUGAUAAACAUGAGGCAGCUAAGUCGAGGCGCAAUUAAACUACAUGAAAGUUUGCGAGAUCGAAAAAUAGAGAAAUGGAGCCAUCGCUACUUGCAUGGCCCUGUGGCGAAGGGCCCGGGAGACGGUGGCGCCAAGAAGAUCCGUAUCUUGGCGCGGGGCACCGAGAAAGGGCCUCCGGCUUCCCCCCACCAGCGGCAGCCCUCGUCAAAGAUAACAUCUGAUUCCGAAUCGUCCGUUCGCUCGUGUAGGCUUCCAUGUAGCCCGACUCGUUUUCUCGGGCCCCGGUACGAAUGUCAUCGUGUUCGCUUCUUACAAGCGGAACGGGGCUUCGAAAGCGGCCCAACCCUCUCCCCCGCUCCCGUCAGCCCCACUACUACGUCGCGUCAGGUGCCUUCGUCAGCGCCGAAUUAACGACUGUGCAGGCCCACGGCAGCAUGCUAUAGGAACAAGAUCGAGAUUAAUUGCUAGCCAUGAAUCGAAAGAAAAGCCCCCGAUCGUGGUCUCGUAUUCAAGCCCGAUUGUCCCUGAGAGUUUCGUUAAUUUAUUGGUUAAUGCUCGAUAUGUUUCAUGGAUGGGAAUUUGAUGAAGGACCAAUGAUGCUACAUGAUGACAGUUUGGUGUUCUUUUGAAGUUUGGUUGAGAGGAUGUCGUGUGGAGUUUAAUUCUUUAAAAGUUAAUAUUGAUUCAACAUUUCAUUUAUAGUUUUUUUUUUCUAGUUAAUAUCUUAUAUAUGUUAUCGAGCUCCAUUUUUUAACGUUAUACUUAUGAAAAGGAUUUCCAA